CCUACGGGAGGCAGCAGUGGGGAAUAUUGGGCAAUGGGCGCAAGCCUGACCCAGCAACGCCGCGUGAAGGAAGAAGGCUUUCGGGUUGUAAACUUCUUUUAAGGGGGAAGAGCAGAAGACGGUACCCCUUGAAUAAGCCACGGCUAACUACGUGCCAGCAGCCGCGGUAAUACGUAGGUGGCAAGCGUUGUCCGGAUUUACUGGGUGUAAAGGGCGUGCAGCCGGAGAGACAAGUCAGAUGUGAAAUCCACGGGCUCAACCCGUGAACUGCAUUUGAAACUGUUUCCCUUGAGUGUCGGAGAGGUAAUCGGAAUUCCUUGUGUAGCGGUGAAAUGCGUAGAUAUAAGGAACAACACCAGUGGCGAAGGCGGAUUACUGGACGAUAACUGACGGUGAGGCGCGAAAGCGUGGGGAGCAAACAGGAUUAGAUACCCCUGUAGUC
rnacentral:rRNA from 1 species